rnacentral:lncRNA from 10 species
CCAUGUUGGCCAGGCUAAUCUCAAACUCCUGACCUCAGGUGAUCCACCCACCAAGGCUUCCCAAAGUGCUGGGACAACAGGCGUGAGCCACAGCACCCGGCCUGGUCAGACAGUUAAUCCACACAUGCUAUUAUGAUUUCCUAGUAAACUGAAGUUUGUCUAUAAUCUAUAACCCAGCAAUGUUCCCCCAUGUGUUGAAAAAUUCAUGAACUGUUAGCAUGUAGAGACAAAACCAAAAAUAACAUUGUCAACAACAUCAAAAAAUUAACUUAAAAGUCAAGUCCUGGCCAGGCGCGGUGGCUCACGCCUGUAAUCCUAACACUUUGGGAGGCCGAGGCUGGCGGAUCACGAGGUCAGGAGAUCGAGACCAUCCUGGAGAACACAAUGAAACCCCAUCUCUACUAAAAAUACAAAAAAAUUAGCCAGGCGUGGUGGCGGGCGCCUGUAGUCCCAGCUACUCAGGAGGCUGAGGCAGGAGAAUGGCGUGAACCCGGGGGUCAGAGCUUGCAGUGAGCCGAGAUCACGCCACUGCACUCUAGCCUGGGUGACAGAGCGAGACUCCAUCUCAAAAAAAACUCAAAAAAAAGUCAAGUCCUAUGAGCACUGCAAUGUGUGAGUAAACUGCAUGACCCAUAGCCUCAGAUUUUAGCAUGUGUCAAACAGAUUGAGGCAAAUAAAGAAAACAAAAAUCUUUUCAGCACAAUUUUUGUGUUUUUCCCCCGUUCAUCCUUUCUUGAUGUCUCUGAAUCAAAUCAAUAUUCUCUAGUGUUCCAAUUUAGUUACUAAUUAUAUUUACAUUUUAGUGAUAUCUUUUUGCAUUAUAUUUUAACAGGUUGCUCUGAUGAACUAGUUCUCAUGCAUGAGAAUCAUCUGAAGGGCUUGUUAAAAAACAGGCCAUUGGAGGCCGGGCGCGGUGGCUCAUGCCUGUAAUCCCAGCACUUUGGGAGACCGAGGUGGGUGGAUCACAAAGUCAGGAGUUCGAGACCAGCAUGGCCAAGAUGAUGAAACCCCGUCUCUACUAAAAAUACAAAAAUUAGCCGGGCGUGGUGGCGGGUGCCUGUAGUCCUAGCUGCUCGGGAGGCUGAGGCAGAAAAUUGCUUGAACCUGGGAGGCAGAGGUAGGUUGCAGUGAGCUGAGAUUGUGCUACUGCACUCCAGCCUGGGUGAAAGAGCGAGACUUGGUCUCAAAAAAAAGAAAGAAAGAAAACAGAUCAUUGGGGCUGGUUGCAGUGGCUCACAUCUGUAAUCCCAGCACUUUGGGAGGCUGAGGCAGGUGGAUCUCUUGAGGUCAGGAGUUCGAGACCAGCCUGGCCAACAUGGUGAAACUCCAU